GUCAAAAUAGACUAAUGCAAAAGGAGAUGAAGCACGUUAUGAGACACCACAGGAAAGGAACUACAAAUAUGUUUUCCUAAUUGACACGACUCACAGACUAAAUUAGACAACUUGGAUAAGUUAGGAACAAACUGUUGCAAUUUGGCAAGACUACGAUGACCUAACUAGGCAUGAAGAAGAGAUAGAGACUCCAUAAUUGCACCAAAAUGUAGAGGGGCGAAGAUGAUAAAGAUCAUGAGACUCACAUCCGGAGCUAAUCACCUAUCUCGAACUACGGUCU
rnacentral:lncRNA from 1 species